rfam:Freshwater sediment metagenome lwMethenol_BCHA6078_y1, whole genome shotgun sequence.
GGGAGUGUAUGGCCUCCCGAUGCCUGCCUGCAGGGGCUGGCAUCAAACCACCCCAUGCUGCUGCGGUCAAAAGUCGUGGUGGUUAGCGUUGGGGAAAAGGCGGACUUGAUCCGUCAGGU